rnacentral:tRNA from 3 species
GGAGAGGUGUCCGAGCGGUUUAUGGAAAUAGUCUUGAAAACUAUCGUGGGUGUAAGCCCACCGUGAGUUCGAAUCUCACCCUCUCCG